rnacentral:tRNA from 1 species
GGGGUUGUGGCUCAGUGGUGGAGCACUUGCCUAGCAUGCAUGAGGCACUGGGUUCAAUCCCCAGCAUCACAU